rnacentral:lncRNA from 1 species
GACCUCCCCUCCCCACCGCCGCCCCUGCGGUGAGAUCCUGCCUGCCGGGGCGCAGGGGCCCGCGGUUGGGCUCCGGGAGACGGAAGAGGCCCCACAGCUCGGGCCCCACGCAGUGGACGCUGCCACUUAAUUUUGGCGUAAUUGAUGUCAAGGCGGGUGCCCGGGCCCCCAGUGAAAUGCCUCAUGAACUCGCUGCGAGGAACGGCGCUCCACGCGGUGCACGGUGGCCAAUCAGAGCUGCCGCUUCUGAUGGAGGCUGAGCCGGCUGGGGAGGCGUCUUGGCCAAGAACCAGCCCCAGCCUCGCUCAGGGCCCCAACCCGCAGACCAUAGUCUCAGCUCUGAACAUCUUCCCGCACCUCUGAGGAGCCAGGCCUGGAAACCCUCUAAAAUAGAUUUUUCUGCCUCAAGACAGAAGAUGGGCGUUCCAGGCAGAGAAGAGCUGCCCAGUCACGUGCUCUGCUCCACCUGGUCAGAGACCCUUGACCUUUAGAAGACUGGACCUGAGGGCGUGGCUGGUGGACCUGAGGGCGUGGAUGGUGGACCUGGCCACCCAGCUGUAGCUUUUUGGGUUCCUGUGGUCCCAUUUCUUGGGUCAAUCUCACACCUGGCAGCUCCCAGGAAGACACCCCCAGGCCCCUCACACUCCUGGGGGCAGCUGGAAUUGGCUUCAGGGCGGGACCAGGGGCCCCAUGGGUGUUUGGAAUCCCUGAUCUGGGUCAGGCACCGGCAGCAGGAUUCCAGCCUGGCCUGGACUCUGGUGUGUCCCGUUUGAAGAAACCCCGCCCUGUGAAAGUUCAAGUUUAGCAUCCAAUGACCCAUUUAAGAGGUUUGCUGAGCCACGUCACAGGAGGGUCUGGGUGCAAACGGAGGUGGCAACACACAGAGCGAGCCUUGAGCACCCAGGUUACCCCCAGGACCUCCAGUCUGGCUUGGGGGCUCCUGCUGUCCUGUGGAGCAGCCCCCUGGGAUCAGGGACGGGGCUGAGCUGGAGAGUGUGCAGGAUUGAUUAAUGAUGUCUGCCACGGUCAGGCCAACUGCUGUGUUUCUGGGGCCCACAAGCUAAAAAUGGUUGGAAAAAAAUCAAAACAUUAAUAUUUGUGACAUAUGAGAAUGCUAUGAAAGUCAACUUUGCUAUCCAUAAAUAAAGUU